GAUGAACGCUGGCGGCGUGCCUAAUACAUGCAAGUCGAGCGAAUGGAUUAAGAGCUUGCUCUUAUGAAGUUAGCGGCGGACGGGUGAGUAACACGUGGGUAACCUGCCCAUAAGACUGGGAUAACUCCGGGAAACCGGGGCUAAUACCGGAUAACAUUUUGAACCGCAUGGUUCGAAAUUGAAAGGCGGCAUCGGCUGUCACUUAUGGAUGGACCCGCGUCGCAUUAGCUAGUUGGUGAGGUAACGGCCCACCAAGGCAACGAUGCGUAGCCGACCUGAGAGGGUGUUCGGCCACACUGGGACUGAGACACGGCCCAGACGCCUACGGGAGGCAGCAGUAGGGAAUCUUCCGCAAUGGACGAAAGUCUGACGGAGCAACGCCGCGUGAGUGAUGAAGGCUUUCGGGUCGUAAAACUCUGUUGUUAGGGAAGAACAAGUGCUAGUUGAAUAAGCUGGCACCUUGACGGUACCUAACCAGAAAGCCACGGCUAACUACGUGCCAGCCGCCGCUGUAA
rnacentral:rRNA from 1 species